rnacentral:tRNA from 1 species
GCUUGGGCUGGGGCUCAGUGGUAGAGCACUCGCCUAUCACAUGGGAGGUUCUGGGUUCGAUCCUCAGCCCCACA